ACAUUUUAGCUCCGUAUUUUUCUUGCUCUGUGACUUUGAGUACAUCGACUAAUUUCUCUAUGUUCUUAUUUCCUUAAGAUGUGGAUAAUAGGGCUAUCCAACUCAGGGCUGUUGUGAGAAUUGAAAAGCCUAAUUUCUGUGCAUAUGGAUGAUCCCUGGCAUAUGCUAGCAGUAUGUGGCAAGAGAGCCCCUCAGGAUACUUCAGCAGUGAGCUGAAGCUUCCAGUCAAUCACUCAACCACGACGGAAGAGCAGGUGCUGCUCCAUGGUGCUCUGCUGCUUGGAGAUGAUGCUCAGUAUGUCAGAAACGAGACCUGUGGAAAUAGGAUUGCUCUGGGGACUGUCUUGAGCCAGCAAACAGAGACUUGUGAAGGCAACAGGGAGACCUAGGCCCAAGAACAGCUUAUAGCAGCACUGAAGACAUCACCACUGACAUGAGAGGGAUGAGGAUGACAGAAAUUGGAAGGCACUAGUGUAACAUGAGAACCGAGGAGACCACAGAUUGACAAGACCUCCUAAUACACUGCUGACCUGCUGUCUUGGCUUUCUUAAGUGAAAUAUGUAUACCCUAUAAAUAAUUACAGAUUUGUUUCUUU